UGGGGAAUAUUGGACAAUGGGCGAAAGCCUGAUCCAGCCAUGCCGCGCGUGUGAAGAAGGCCUUUUGUUUGUAAAGCACUUUAAGCGAGGAGGAGGCUACUUAGAUUAAUACUCUAGGAUAGUGGACGUUACUCGCAGAAUAAGCACCGGCUAACUCUGUGCCAGCAGCCGCGGUAAUACAGAGGGUGCGAGCGUUAAUCGGAUUUACUGGGCGUAAAGCGUGCGUAGGCGGCUUUUUAAGUCGGAUGUGAAAUCCCUGAGCUUAACUUAGGAAGUGCAUUCGAGACUGGGAAGCUGGAGGAUGGGGGAAGAUGGUAGAAUUCCGGGUGUAGCGGUGAAAUGCGUAGGGAUCUGGAGGAAUACCGAUGGCGAAGGCAGCCAUCUGGCCUAGUACUGACGCUGAGGUACGAAGGCAUGGGGAGCAAACAGG
rnacentral:rRNA from 1 species